rnacentral:rRNA from 1 species
AGAGAGAGACAUGCGCGCAUAUCAAUAAGCGGAGGAAAAGAAACUAACAAGGAUUCCCCUAGUAACGGCGAGUGAAGCGGGAAGAGCUCAAAUUUGAAAUCUUAAAGGGUUUCCCUUUACGAAUUGUAGUUUAAAGAAGUGUUUUCUGUUGAGGUUUUGGUAAAAGUUCUUUGGAAUAGGACAUCAUAGAGGGUGAGAAUCCCGUAUUUGACCAUUACUUUUCAACUUUGUGAUACACUUUCAAAGAGUCGGAUUGUUUGGGAAUGCAGUCCAAAAUGGGUGGUAAAUUUCAUCUAAAGCUAAAUAUUGGCGAGAGACCGAUAGCGAACAAGUACCGUGAGGGAAAGAUGAAAAGAACUUUGAAAAGAGAGUUAAACAGUACGUGAAAUUGUCAAAAGGGAAGCGUUUGACACCAGUGUUGUUUUUCUGAAAAUCAAUUAAAGAACUGUUUAUGCUAAGUUGUUUAGACUUUAUCAGCUAUCUGUUUAGUUUUGAGCUUUUCUUUAAUGCACUUUUCAGUUAACAAGUCAACAUCAAUUUCUUUUGCUGUAAAAAAGCUUGAGGAAGGUGGCUUGAGAUUCGUCUUAAGUGUUUAUAGCCUCUUGCCUAUGCAGUCGGAGAGAUUGAGGUCUGCAGCGUAGAUCCUUCGGGGCUAAAUGCAUUUGUGCUAAGUUAUAGCAUUUUAUAGACAACUUGUUGACUAUGAUUUGUCUUGUAGCUUACUCGCUUAUGUUAUUUUACCUACGCUUAGGAUGUUGAGCGCAUGUCUCUCUCU